rnacentral:lncRNA from 1 species
GGGACAUUUGCACAGGACAUUUGCACAGGACAUUUGCACAUGCUGUUUCUUCUUGGGAUAUCCUCUGCUCACCAGGUUCCCUGCCACCUUGAGGAAAGGUCUGAAGCAAGAUCAUCUCAGAAUGAAGAGCAGCAAAGGCUGGAGGGCAAUGGCAUACUGAAGAACCUACUGACUCCAUUGUAUCUUCUGUCCAAAGGGUCACCUUCUCCAGAUGCCCACCUCUAUCCUGUGGCCUGCAACUAGCAGCCUGCCCCAUCCUCUAUCCUGUGACCCGGAACUAGCAGCCUGCCCCAUCCUCUAUCCUGUGACCCGGAACUAGCAGCCUGCCCCAUCCUCUGUCCUGUGACCCGGAACUAGCAGCCUGCCCCAUCCUCUGUCCUGUGACCUGGAACUAUCAACCUGCCCCAUCCUCUGUCCUGUGACCUGGAACUAGCAGCCUGCCCCAUCCUCUAUCCUGUAACCUGGAACUAGCAGCCUGCCCCAUCCUCUAUCCUGUGACCCGGAACUAGCAGCCUGCCCCAUCCUCUGUCCUGUGACCAGUAACUAGCAGCCUGCCCCAUCCUCUAUCCUGUGACCUGGAACUAGCAGCCUGCCCAUCUUUGGGCCUUUGUUUAUAUGGAAAUGCUGACUCACUGAGCCAUCAGUUCUUGCCAAAGGCAACCAAGGAAAGAAACAAAU